rnacentral:rRNA from 1 species
AUUGAACGCUGGCGGCAUGCCUUACACAUGCAAGUCGAACGGUAACGGGCCUUCGGGUGCCGACGAGUGGCGAACGGGUGAGUAAUGUAUCGGAACGUACCUUUCAGUGGGGGAUAACGUAGCGAAAGUUACGCUAAUCCCGCAUAUUCUGUGCGCAGGAAAGCAGGGGAUCGCAAGACCUUGCGCUGAUUGAGCGGCCGAUAUCAGAUUAGCUAGUUGGUGAGGUAAAGGCUCACCAAGGCGACGAUCUGUAGCGGGUCUGAGAGGAUGAUCCGCCACACUGGAACUGAGACACGGUCCAGACUCCUACGGGAGGCAGCAGUGGGGAAUUUUGGACAAUGGGGGCAACCCUGAUCCAGCCAUGCCGCGUGAGUGAAGAAGGCCUUCGGGUUGUAAAGCUCUUUCGGCCGGGAAGAAAUCGUAUCGGCUAAUACCUGGUGCGGAUGACGGUACCGGCAUAAGAAGCACCGGCUAACUACGUGCCAGCAGCCGCGGUAAUAC